GGCUCCUUGUAAUGUGUAAAUAAGGAGUCGGACCUGCCCAGUGAAUUUUUAACGGCCGCGGUACUCUGACCGUGCAAAGGUAGCAUAAUCAUUUGCCUUAUAAUUGAAGGCUUGUAUGAAUGGUUUGACAAGAAUAUAGCUGUCUCUUUAUAAUUAAAUAGAAUUUUAUUUACAGGUGAAGAAGCCUGUAUAAUAUUGAAAGACAAGAAGACCCUAUCGAGCUUGAAAAAAGUUAAUAAAUCUUAUAUAUUUAAUAUAGUUUAAAAAAUUAAUUAUUAAAAAUUUUGGUUGGGGCGACUGAGGAACAAAUAAAGCUUCCUCUAUAAUAGUAAUACAAGCAAGUAACGAGCCAAAAACUUUGAUUAAAGGAAUUAGUUACCGUAGGGAUAACAGCAUUAUCUUUUUUGAGAGUUCUAAUCGAAAAAAAGGUUUGUGACCUCGAUGUUGGACCAGAAUAUCCUGAAGAUGCAGCCGUCUUCAAGGGUUGGUCUGUUCGACCAUUAAAAUUCUACGUGAUCUGAGUUCAGACCGGCGUGAGCCAGGUCAGUUUCUAUCUUCAAUUUUUUAAAAUAAAUUUAGUACGAAAGGACCAAUUUAUUACAAUAUAUAUAUAUUUGUUUUAUUUUGAUGCUAUAUAAAGAAAAAUUAAAUUUAUAAGUAUAAUCAAAUUAGCAAAGACAAUGCAAUUGAUUUAGGAUCAAUAGACAAAGGCGAAAAUCCUUUAUUUGAUAGSUAUAAAGA
rnacentral:rRNA from 1 species